CACUAACUUCUCCUCUACGACGGUUUGCGUUACUGCUUCCAUCAUCUUCGUCAUCUUCUCCACUGCUUCCAUAGCAAUAGCUUGCGUCUCUUAUCUGAAAACAGUAAUACGGAGACAAAGGAAGGGGGGAAGGUCUGCUGCACCCCUGCCAUGCUGCUUUACCAGGUCCUCCACCACACUGAAAUUAUUUUUCGUUCAGCGAGAUGCCAAACUACUACCGUUAGAGGGACCCGCACGCACACAGAAGCACGGACACA